rnacentral:rRNA from 1 species
AACGAACGCUGGCGGCAGGCCUAACACAUGCAAGUCGAACGCCGUAGCAAUACGGAGUGGCAGACGGGUGAGUAACACGUGGGAACAUACCCUUCGGUUCGGAAUAACUCAGGGAAACUUGAGCUAAUACCGGAUACGUCCGCGAGGAGAAAGAUUCAUCGCCGGAGGAUUGGCCCGCGUCUGAUUAGCUUGUUGGUGAGGUAACGGCUCACCAAGGCGACGAUCAGUAGCNGGUCUGAGAGGAUGAUCAGCCACAUUGGGACUGAGACACGGCCCAAACUCCUACGGGAGGCAGCAGUGGGGAAUAUUGGACAAUGGGCGCAAGCCUGAUCCAGCCAUGCCGCGUGAGUGAUGAAGGCCCUAGGGUUGUAAAGCUCUUUUACCCGGGAAGAUAAUGACUGUACCGGGAGAAUAAGCCCCGGCUAACUUCGUGCCAGCAGCCGCGGUAAC